rnacentral:rRNA from 1 species
UACGGGAGGCAGCAGUGGGGAAUAUUGCACAAUGGGCGAAAGCCUGAUGCAGCUAUGCCGCGUGUAUGAAGAAGGCUUUAGGGUUGUAAAGUACUUUCAUCGGGGAGGAAAAACAAAACUAAUAAUUUUAUUUCUUGACGUUACCCGAAAAAGAAGCACCGGCUAACUCCGUGCCAGCAGCCGCGGUAAUACGGAGGGUGCUAGCGUUAAUCAGAAUUACUGGGCGUAAAGAGCACGUAGGUGGUUUUUUUAAGUCAGAUGUGAAAUCCCUGGGCUUAACCUAGGAACUGCAUUUUGAAACUGAAAUACUAGAGUAUCGUAGAGGGAGGUAGAAUUCUAGGUGUAGCGGUGAAAUGCGUAGAUAUCUGGAGGAAUACCUGUGGCGAAAGCGGCCUCCUAAACGAAUACUGACACUGAGGUGCGAAAGCGUGGGGAGCAAAACAGGGAUUAGAUACC